AGGACGAACGCUGGCGGCGUGCUUAAAACAUGCAAGUCGAACGAGACCUUUGGUCUAGUGGCGAACGGCGGAGUAAUACAUAAGCAACCUGCCUCAAAGACCGGGAUAGCCCUCGAAAGAGGGAUUAAUACCGGAUGUGGCCUUUUGUGGGCAUCCACGAAAGAUUAAAACGAGCAAUCGGCUUUGAGAGGGGCUUGUGGCCUAUCAGCUUGUUGGUGGGGUAAUGGCCUACCAAGGCUUCGACGGGUAGCGGGUCUGAGAGGAUGAUCCGCCCGACUGGGACUGAGACACGGCCCAGACUCCUACGGGAGGCAGCAGUUGGGAAUCUUGCACAAUGGGCGAAAGCCUGAUGCAGCGACGCCGCGUGGAGGACGAAGUCUUUCGGGAUGUAAACUCCUUUUUUCCAGGAACGAUAAUGACGGUACCUGGUGAAUAAGCCCCGGCUAACUACGUGCCAAGCAGCCGC
rnacentral:rRNA from 1 species